rnacentral:lncRNA from 1 species
AUAAAUAAACUGAAAAAGAUUACACAUAUUUAGGAUAUAUGACUACUAACAUUUGAACAUGUACGUAUUAUACUGAGUGUGUUGACCUAUUGCAGGAAUUGAGAACAUUAUCUAAUAUAGACAUAAGGAUAUAACAAUAAUUAAACCUUGAUCUGUGAGUCAUCAAGGUGUGAUAUCAUAGCAUGUGAUCUCUACCAGACAGACAUGAACCACUUGAUUCUGUAGAAAAUAUAGAUGACAUACUACGUAAAUUUAUUUACCUAUAAGCAGAGACAUAUAAUACAAUUUUAUUGUAUUAUAUGUCUCUGCUCUAGCCAAUGUAGAAAAGUAAACGCAUAACAAUAUGCACAUUAAAAUUCAGUUCAAGAGAAGUCUGAGACCGAUGUCAGAAGCUGUAACAAAAGAAAAUAAAUAAAAUGACAAUAAUACAUAAAUAACAACAGACUACUAGCAGUUAACUGACAUGCCAGCUCCAGACCUCAAUUAGACUGAUUGAAAGAUUAUGUCUUCAUCAUAUGAAUAUCAGGCACAAUCCCUCCCGUUAGGGGUUUAGUAUCAUACUAUCAUAAAAUAUAUGAGAAGAACAUAACCCGUGUCAUGCCAAGAACUGUUUUUUUAAAUAAAUGUGUUUAGUUCCGAUGCAAAGACCC